rnacentral:lncRNA from 1 species
UGCUGCUGCUUCUCCACAAGACAAACACGAGGCAGAGGCUGAUCACCGUGGAGGUGUUCCUUGUACACAGGAGAUGUGGAUAAGGGGCCUUUCGCGUCGUGCACGAUGGAUGGGAACAUGCAAAACUAAGCCCUCUUUCCCGGAGGACUGAAAUCUUUCCCGGGAGCCAAAACUCUAAACCCACGGGAGAGGCUCUGUCAGAAUAUGACGCUCACGGGGCGUUUCUUUGACCAUAUAUGGAGCUCUGACGGUUCCUGUCAAGCAGUGGCGCUCGACUACGCGAGUUCUCGCCUAUAGCAGCAACACGAGAACAUUCGCUCUACUUUCCUCAUACUAGGCCUAUAUGGGGGGACCAUCUGGAGGUGGGGAGCGGGAGUCAGCUGCUCCGCACACGGAGGCUCGGAGCCUGAAUCCGUCUCGGCUCAUUCUGGGGGGGAUCAUCUGCGAGGUGGUGGGCUAUAGCCGUGGAGAAUGCGUUCUCUUCAUCAUUAAGUGAAUGUUACCUCUCAGACCCGCUCCCAAUAGAAAGGGGCGUUGGUCCUUGUGUGUUUUUCUUAAAUAAUAUAGAUAGAAUAAAAAACUAUUUGUCACGUUAAAAAAAAAAAUAUUUGAACUGUAAAUUAUGAUAAUUGUGAGUUACUAAAAGAAAGGUAAGUCAUAGUCGAUUGGUAAUUAAAAAAUGUUUUUAUUUCAUUUUCCACCCUCAUAUUAUGUGUGCAGACAUCAUAACCAUGUUUUGUAUCGUUAUAUUUAUCUGAGAGGCAACGUGUAGGCCUAUUGUCUUCUGAUCACAAAAGCUGAUCAAAGGUGACCCAAAUUUGCUUGGGGAUAACAAUAAUUAAAAAACAACAACAUAAUAAUAGAUCAUAAUAAUACUGAAUCAAACUCCCGGAAAAUCCAUACAGCUUGUGUGGUUCUUGAUAAAACAUAAUACUUUUAAACUUCCACCGAGACCUCCCGUCUCGAUGGAAGCAGCCUUAACCCGUAUUGGGGGUGACGUCUUCUUUUUUGAGCGA